GGGGCUGUGGCUCAGUGGUAGAACAUCUGCUUACUGUGCAGAAGGUCCCAGGUUUGAUCCCUGGCACCUCCA